rnacentral:tRNA from 1 species
GUGGCUAUAGCUCAAUUGGUUAGAGCAUCAGACUGUGGCUCUGAGGGUUGGCGGUUCGAUCCCGCUUAGCCACCCCA